AUUGAACGCUGGCGGCAUGCUUUACACAUGCAAGUCGAACGGUAACAGGCCUUCGGGUGCUGACGAGUGGCGAACGGGUGAGUAAUGCAUCGGAACAUACCCAGUCGUGGGGGAUAACGUAGCGAAAGUUACGCUAAUACCGCAUACGUCCUGAGGGAGAAAGCGGGGGAUCGCAAGACCUCGCGCGAUUGGAGUGGCCGAUGUCAGAUUAGCUAGUUGGUGGGGUAAAGGCCCACCAAGGCGACGAUCGGUAGCGGGUCUGAGAGGAUGAUCCGCCACACUGGGACUGCGAAACGGCCCAGACUCCUGCGGGAGGCAGCAGUGGGGAAUUUUGGACAAUGGGGGCAACCUUGAUCCAGCCAUGCCGCGUGCGGGAAGAAGGCCUUCGGGUUGUAAACCGCUUUCGGACAGAAAGAAAUCGCAUGGGCUAAUACCCUGUGUGGAUGACGGUACUGUAAGAAGAAGCACCGGCUAACUACGUGCCAGCAGCCGCCGUAA
rnacentral:rRNA from 1 species